UCUGAAUGUCAGAUGAUGCUCUUCAUGGAUUCUUCUCCCUACCCACCCGUGGCUAGCAGACAGUCUUACUCUGUCCUGACUCUUCCUAUCCAACAGAUAGAUGUGGACCGCAACUCUAUGGGCCUUUAGAUUCAGUUUAGUUUUGCUCCUUGGAAAAAUUUUCUGAAUAAAUUCAGUGAAAUCCAGGGAAUAGGCCAGUUUUAUUAGGUUAUUCUCCUUGUCCUUGACUCCUGCAUUGUCUGCUUUCAUUGUUCUGUGCAUCAUCUCCCUCUGUGUGGGAGAGCAUGCCAGCCCAGUGCUCUUCAGCAUCAUUCUCCCAUUUGUUCCAUUUGUUAAAUAGCUGUAGAUUACAUGUACUUACAGCUGGUUGGUCUUUGGCCCAUUUUUAUUUCUUCUCUAGUUUGAACCAUUGGGCUAAUGUUUAUUUUAUGGUUAAUUUGUCUUUUCAUUGAAAAUGUGAAUGCUUUCCAAGACUGCUAUCUCUAAUUUGAGCUUGUGGCCUAUUUUGCCACUUAUUUUUUCAAGAGUUAUUUAACUGAAAUCAGCUGGAAUUUAUGACCAUGAUUUUCUAUUUAGUCUUCUCAUUUCCUGCUUUGCAAGAAAGAUAAGACCAGAGAGGCAUAUUUUCUAAAGGUAAACUAGUGUUUGUCAGCCAAUGAAUAGAUUUCAAACGGCCACUAGGGAUGGGGGCCCAGAAUUACAGAUUCUCUGAAACAUUUGUCUGGUGUCCCAGCAGUUACCACUCUCCUCUUCACAGCAUUUGGAAAAGCCUACAUUAUUUUCAGAUUCUCUUCUCUGAGAAUUCUCAGCUCUUUCUUUAUCAAUAUGGUCAUCUGUAACCUGCAGUACUACAGUAAAUCUAAAAAAGGAAAACAAAAAAGUGCUUAUUGGACUCUCAAUGGCCUACCUUUGAAAAUAGCCCCAAGUAAGGGGAAAACUCUGUGGAGCUGAAAGGAAAAUACCCAUGCAUCACCUGACUUCCCCUUUUUCCACAGUAGGUGGGCCAUGCUACUUUCUCCAUCCUUGCUGCCCAUUCAGCUUGGUCACAUGACAAAGCUCUCUCCAAUGGAAUGAGAGCAGAGGUGAUGUGAGCCACUUCUAGGCCUGGUCCAUGAAACCACCUGUGACUUUUGCUAGGAUAGACUUCCUCUAACUGAAUAAAAAUCUAUAUCCCUAU
rnacentral:lncRNA from 1 species